rnacentral:rRNA from 1 species
GUGCACGCUGGCGGUAGGCCUAACCCAUGCAGGUCGAACGGCAGCACAGUAAGAGCUUGCUCUUACGGGUGGCGAGUGGCGGACGGGUGAGGAAUACAUCGGAAUCUACUUUUUCGUGGGGGAUAACGUAGGGAAACUUACGCUAAUACCGCAUACGACCUACGGGUGAAAGCAGGGGAUCUUCGGACCUUGCGCGAUUGAAUGAGCCGAUGUCGGAUUAGCUAGUUGGCGGGGUAAAGGCCCACCAAGGCGACGAUCCGUAGCUGGUCUGAGAGGAUGAUCAGCCACACUGGAACUGAGACACGGUCCAGACUCCUACGGGAGGCAGCAGUGGGGAAUAUUGGACAAUGGGCGCAAGCCUGAUCCAGCCAUACCGCGUGGGUGAAGAAGGCCUUCGGGUUGUAAAGCCCUUUUGUUGGGAAAGAAAAGCAGCAGGUUAAUACCCCGCUGUUCUGACGGUACCCAAAGAAUAAGCACCGGCUAACUUCGUG